UUGUCAUAAUAUUUAGCUUUUUAAUGACGAACUACAGAUCAUCAUAAGGAAAUUCGUAACAAAAUAUUAAAUUUCUUGUAGUGUUAUAAUAACAAGAAAAUUAUCUCUCAAACCCUAAAAUUCAAUUAUACCCAAUAAACUCACCUCCCAAAUAAAUGGAAUAAAAAAAGCUCUCAAAAUUCAAUUACAAAGUAAGCACUGCUUGCAUAUUUAUAGAGCACUUGGGGCCUAUUUUAUAAAGAGAAAAAGGAGAGGAAAAUGGCAAGGAAAGAGAAAAAGAGUAAUUUAUUUAUUUUAUUGGAAG
rnacentral:misc_RNA from 1 species